rnacentral:rRNA from 1 species
UACGUAGGGGGCAAGCGUUGUCCGGAAUCAUUGGCGUAAGAAGCGUGUAGGCGGCCAGUAAAAGUCCGCUGUGAAAACUCGAGGCUCAACGUUCGAGCUGUCGGUGGAAACUGUCGGGCUAGAGUGCGGAAGAGGCGAGUGGAAUUCCUGGUGUAGCGGUAGAAAUGCGCAGAUAUCAGGAGGAACACCAAUUGCGAAGGCAGCUCGCUGGGACGUUACUGACGCUGAGACGCGAAAGCGUGGGGAUCAAACAGG